rnacentral:rRNA from 1 species
UACGGGGGGGGCAAGCGUUGUUCGGAUUUACUGGGCGUAAAGGGCUCGUAGGUGGCCAAUUAAGUCAGGCGUGAAAUCCCCGGGCUCAACCUGGGAAUGGCGAUGGAGACUGCAAGGCUAGAAUCUGGCAGAGGGGGGUAGAAUUCCACGUGUAGCAGUGAAAUGCGUAGAUAUGUGGAGGAACACCGAUGGCGAAGGCAGCCCCCUGGGCUAAGAUUGACGCUCAUGCACGAAAGCGUGGGGAGCAAACAGG